rnacentral:rRNA from 1 species
GAUGAACGCUGGCGGCGUGCCUAAUACAUGCAAGUCGAGCGAACGGACGAGAAGCUUGCUUCUCUGAUGUUAGCGGCGGACGGGUGAGUAACACGUGGAUAACCUACCUAUAAGACUGGGAUAACUUCGGGAAACCGUAGCUAAUACCGGCUAAUAUUUUGAACCGCAUGGUUCAAAAGUGAAAGACGGUCUUGCUGUCACUUAUAGAUGGAUCCGCGCUGCAUUAGCUAGUUGGUAAGGUAACGGCUUACCAAGGCAACGAUGCAUAGCCGACCUGAGAGGGUGAUCGGCCACACUGGAACUGAGACAAGGUGCAGACUCCUACGGGAGGCAGCAGUAGGGAAUCUUCCGCAAUGGGCGAAAGCCUGACGGAGCAACGCCGCGUGAGUGAUGAAGGUCUUCGGAUCGUAAAACUCUGUUAUUAGGGAAGAACAUAUGUGUAAGUAACUGUGCACAUCUUGACGGUACCUAAUCAGAAAGCCACGGCUAACUACGUG